rnacentral:misc_RNA from 1 species
AAAGCAGCAAGACAAAGCCACAGCCACCAACGUCCGUAUCGCACACGCGAAACUCUGCCACGCUUAGAUUCGGCACGAGUGUUCAUCACUACUAGCGACGUUUUCCUCUCUUUUGUGUGUGUGUCUGCCUUCCGUUACGAAGAGCACACACGCACUUGCCUCCGCCCUCGCCCGCCCCCCCCGAUACCUCCAGCCAUGUUCCACAACAGCUACCAGGCAGGCUUCCUGUCGAUCCUUUACAGCAUCGGCUCGAAGCCACUGCAGAUUUGGGACUCGCAGGUGCGCAACGGCCACGUCAAGCGCAUCACCGACGAGGACAUCCAAAGUAGUGUGCUGGAGAUUAUGGGGAGCAAUGUUAGCACGUGCUACAUCGUCUGCCCCGCCAACCCGAAGCAGACCCUUGGCAUCAAGCUGCCGUUUCUCGUCAUGAUCAUCAAGAACAUGAAGAAGUACUUCUCCUUCGAGGUGACCAUACUGGACGACAAGAACAUGCGCCGUCGCUUCCGCGCCAGCAACUACCAGAGCACAACGAAGGUGAAGCCGUUCAUAUGCACUAUGCCGAUGCGCCUCGAUGAGGGCUGGAACCAGAUCCAGUUCAACCUAUCCGAUUUCACGCGCCGCGCCUACGGCACGAACUACGUGGAGACGCUGCGGGUGCAGGUGCACGCGAACUGCCGCAUCCGCCGUCUGUACUUCAGCGACCGCCUAUACGCCGAGGAGGAGCUGCCACCGGAGUUCAAGCUGUUCCUGCCCAUCGCCCAGCAGCCUCCGGCGGCUGCGGCGGCGGAGCAGAGAGACGUCGAAGCCGCCGACGUGCCGCAGGCUUCCUCCGUGGCCCAGUGAGUCCGCCCCUUCCGGGCCGCGCUGCCCCUGCGCAUUUCUCCGUGUGUGUGUGUGUGCGCGCGCGAGGCUCGUGUCUCUGUGUUUGCUGUGUUUGUUUGUCGCCUUCGUUUCUCACUUCUCUUUCCUGCCCUCCCCUCCCCCGAGUUGUGUGGUGGCAGCGUGAGACAGUCCUCCUCCUCUUCCCUCUUCUUCUAUGUAUUGGUAGCUGAUGCUGAUGUGGUGAUGGCGAGAGCACACAUGGAGGUACAUGUGGGCACAGGUGUGUGUGUGUGUGUGUGUGUAUCGAUGUACAUCUUCG